GACGAACGCUGGCGGCGUGCCUAAUACAUGCAAGUCGAACGCUUCUUUCCUCCCGAGUGCUUGCACUCAAUUGGAAAGAGGAGUGGCGGACGGGUGAGUAACACGUGGGUAACCUACCCAUCAGAGGGGGAUAACACUUGGAAAUAGGUGCUAAUACCGCAUAACAGUUUAUGCCGCAUGGCAUAAGAGUGAUAGGCGCUUUCGGGUGUCGCUGAUGGAUGGACCCGCGGUGCAUUAGCUAGUUGGUGAGGUAACGGCUCACCAAGGCCACGAUGCAUAGCCGACCUGAGAGGGUGAUCGGCCACACUGGGACUGAGACACGGCCCAGACUCCUACGGGAGGCAGCAGUAGGGAAUCUUCGGCAAUGGACGAAAGUCUGACCGAGCAACGCCGCGUGAGUGAAGAAGGUUUUCGGAUCGUAAAACUCUGUUGUUAGAGAAGAACAAGGACGUUAGUAACUGAACGUCCCCUGACGGUAUCUAACCAGAAAGCCACGGCUAACUACGUG
rnacentral:rRNA from 1 species